rnacentral:rRNA from 1 species
GAGUUUGAUCCUGGCUCAGAACGAACGCUGGCGGCGUGCUUAACACAUGCAAGUCGAACGGAAUGGAGGGGCUUGCUCCUUCAUUUAGUGGCGCACGGGUGAGUAACGCGUAGAUAAUCUGCCUGAUGAUCUGGGAUAACACUUCGAAAGGGGUGCUAAUACCGGAUAAGCCCACGACGGCUUUGGUCGUUGCGGGAAAAGGGGGGGACCUUCGGGCCUUCUGUCAUCARAUGAGUCUGCGUACCAUUAGCUAGUUGGUGGGGUAAUGGCCCACCAAGGCUACGAUGGUUAGCUGGUCUGAGAGGAUGAUCAGCCACACUGGAACUGAGACACGGUCCAGACUCCUACGGGAGGCAGCAGUGGGGAAUUUUGCGCAAUGGGGGAAACCCUGACGCAGCAACGCCGCGUGAGUGAUGAAGGCCUUCGGGUCGUAAAGCUCUGUCAGAGGGGAAGAAAUGAGUCUGGCUAAUAUCCAGAUUUCUUGACGGUACCCCUAAAGGAAGCACCGGCUAACUCCGUGCCAGCAGCCGCGGWAAUAC